AUGGAGGACAACUGGAUAGUGUGGAACGUCAGGGGUUUGAAUAACCCAGCUACGAGAAUAGUAGUUAAGGAGUUGGUGUACCGUAACAAUGUAUCCUUAGUAUGUUUGCAAGAAACAAAACUAUCCUUCAUCGAUACGGCUGUGGUGAACCAAUGUUGUGGUGCGGAGUUCUCUGAGUUUGCUUACUUGCCAGUUGUUGGAUCCAGAGGAGGGGUGUUAAUGGCAUGGAAAGGUGACCACUACUCCAUGUCCAACAUCACAGUUCAAGGGUACUCGGUGGCGGCAGUUGGGAAAGAUGCCAAGGGGGCACCAGUGGGAGUGAUUGGUGUGUAUGGCCCGCAGAAUUGGAAGGAUAAGCUAGCGUUCCUUCGUGAGCUCAAAGAUACUAUACAGAGCAGUAUUCCCAAUGGCACGGCCCUUGCAUUGGUCAGUGAUUUCAACAUCAUCACCCAAGCUGAAGACAAGAACAACCCGGGGAUCAACCGUCGCUGCAUCACAGCCUUUAGAAACUUCAUCAACGAGCUUCAACUAAAGGAUCUAUACCUCCAUGGCCAUAGGUAUACACGGAGUAAUGAACAACAAAACGCCACGAUGGUGAAGCUUGACUGA
rnacentral:rRNA from 1 species